AACUCGCCUACACGAAGUCGGAAUCGCUAGUAAUCNCGGAUCAGCAUGCCGCGGUGAAUACGUUCCCGGGCCUUGUACACACCGCCCGUCACACCAUGGGAGUUUGUAACGCCCAAAGUCGGUGGCCUAACCUUUAUGGAGGGAGCCGCCUAAGGCGGGACAGAUGACUGGGGUGAAGUCGUAACAAGGUAGC
rnacentral:rRNA from 1 species